rnacentral:rRNA from 1 species
GAUGAACGCUAGCGAUAGGCUUAACACAUGCAAGUUGAGGGACCGGCGGAAGGGUGAGUAACGCGUAUGCAACUUGCCUCUUAGCGGGGGAUAACCCGGAGAAAUCCGGACUAAUACCGCAUACUAAGAGAUAGGCAUGCGUUCCCUUAGUUAGUUGGUGAGCUAACGGCGCACCAAGGCAUCGAUGGAUAGGGGAGCUGAGAGGCUAAUACCCCAGAUUGAGACUGAGAGACGGACCAAACUCAUACGGGAGGCAUGAGUGAGGAAUAUUGGUCAAUAGGAGAAACACUGAACCAGCCAAGUCGCGUGAAGAAUGACGGUCUAUGGAUUGUAAACUUCUUUAGUAGGCGGGUGAGUAGCAUAAGAAUUAGUAUCGGCUAACUCCGUGCCAGCCGCCGCGGUAAUUC